GGGGUCUUGGCACAGAUGGUAGCGCGCAUGCUUCGCAAUAAGUAACCAUGUACACGAUUGCAUGAGGUCGUGAGUUCGACUCUCACAGGCUCCA